rnacentral:rRNA from 1 species
GGGUUGUGAGGUUAAGUGACUAAGCGUACACGGUGGAUGCCUAGGCAGUCAGAGGCGAUGAAGGGCGUGUUAAUCUGCGAUAAGCGUCGGUAAGGUGAUAUAAACCGUUAUAACCGGCGAUACCCGAAUGGGGAAACCCAGUGCAAUUCGUUGCACUAUCAUACGAUGAAUACAUAGUCGUAUGAGGCGAACCGGGGGAACUGAAACAUCUAAGUACCCCGAGGAAAAGAAAUCAACCGAGAUUCCCCCAGUAGCGGCGAGCGAACGGGGAGGAGCCCAGAACCUGAAUCAGUUCUUGUGUUAGUGGAAGCGUCUGGAAAGUCGCACAGUAAAGGGUGAUAGUCCCGUACACUAAAAUGCAUUAAUUGUGAGUUCGAUGAGUAGGGCGGGACACGUGACAUCCUGUCUGAAUAUGGGGGGACCAUCCUCCAAGGCUAAAUACUCCUGACUGACCGAUAGUGAACCAGUACCGUGAGGGAAAGGCGAAAAGAACCCCGGCGAGGGGAGUGAAAUAGAACCUGAAACCGUGUACGUACAAGCAGUGGGAGCCUACUAGUUGGGUGACUGCGUACCUUUUGUAUAAUGGGUCAGCGACUUAUAUUUUGUAGCAAGGUUAACCGUAUAGGGGAGCCGUAGGGAAACCGAGUCUUAACUGGGCGAAUAGUUGCAAGGUAUAGACCCG